AUGACCCAGCACACCCACAUUCACAUUUACCCGCCGGCCCGCCAUCCCGCCGCCGCCUCUCACGCCGUCGCCUGAGCGCCGGCCCCGCGGUCCGCCUGCUAAGCCGCACCCCCCGCAACCCGCGCCGAGUGCACCGGUUCCGGCACGGAAGCUUCCGCCCUCGGGCGCCCACAGCGCUAUGGCCGAACGCGCACGGAGCGGAACAGAGAGCCUGACUGCUACCUGGGGUUACUGUCAUCCCGCUCCGCACUCCACGGUCUCGCCAGUCUCAAUUAGGUAUUGAAAGGUGCCUAGAACCAUGAAAGAGGUUGUUCUGGCAAACGGUAAAAGCCAAGGAAAAGAAGGUACCUGGGACCUCACAGGGGAGAAAUGAGGAUUGGAGAGCGGACUAACACUACUCUCAGGUGUUUUAUCACAACGAUGCAGUCUGACAUAAAGCCUGACUUCAGGGUGCUGACAAAUAUUUUAGCUUUUGUUGUGAAAAUUCCCUCCUGAGGGGAGCAGUGAAUGACAUGUGCUCCUCUUCCUAAGGUUCCGAGGACAAACCAAAGAGGCCCCAUGACAACAAUUCAUCCUAGGAUUGAGCUUAUUUGGUUUACUUAUAAAUGUGGGUGAGAGGUUAAGAGUGUUGACCAACUCAGAGCAGCUGCACUGGAAAGUCUUCUCGUAUCACAGACUGUGGCUUCCCCUUCUUCCUCCUAAUCUACACUAACCCGUGUGCUCUGCCUCCUCCCUGAAGUCUGAGGCCACGUGGCUUGGAGGAGUGGCCAGACACUCAGGUGAGGAUCCAGUGACCCAGCUGAGGUCCUCCUAGGAGGGAACAUCAUCGGCCCACAGGCCCGAUCAUGAUGAACUUUGGAAAGUAGGCACAGAUGGUCUCAUCAAGAUGGCAGCAGUUUUGCUCAGAUGCUGGCCAAGCUUCACCGACUCCUCCUGGGCAGCCAGUCUGCCUCUGUGAUGAGCCAGGAAUGUGUGUUUGCAGGAAGUAGCUCCAAUCACUCCAGGGAGCAAGACUGUACACUCCUGACUCCCAGCUGCAGACUGAAUUGCAUUCUUCACAGGUUUGUGUUCAUUCUUCACAGGUUUGUGUGUGUGUGUGUGGGGGGGGGCUUUGAUGCCCACCCCACAGACAGGUGAUAGAUGGGCUCUUGAACUAAAUGGGUCACGAGUGGGGUCCUCAUGUGAAUGAGUGCUCCCAAAAUUUGUGUCUCCUUUUUCCCAC